rnacentral:lncRNA from 13 species
GUUCUUGGCUUUCAGUCUAUCUCCUGCCACCCUGUAAAGUGGUGGCUUCUGCCAUGAUUUUAAGUUUCCUGAGGCCUCUCCAACUAUGCAGAACUACAACAUAAAACAGACACACUUUCAUUCUUUGCUGAUGGCCUCCUGGUGCAAUAACCUGGAAGAGUAACAACAUGCAGAAAAAUGCCAUAAAAUCUUGCAUACUUAUGGACUCAAUCAUUCUGUAUCUAGGAGUGGUUUAAGCCAAUACUUCAGCAGGAUAGAAAGCUAUUUGUGCUUAGAUGUUCAUUACAGCAUUGAUUGUAACAAUA